GCGCAGUUUCUCGUUCUCCUCCCUCAGGCGGGCCAGCUCCUCACCGCCCUCCUCCAGGUCGUCGGCCAUCUUCAGGGACCUCUCUCGAAAUUCCCGCGCACAGGACGACUCCAUCUGCACCCGCUGCAGCUCCUGCUUGGCCAGGUACAGCUGUCCAGGGAGGAGGGCGAGGACGCCAGGAAGCGGGCGGCACCUGACCAGAUGGUCAACAGCAGCAGCCCCUGACGGGCGGCCAGCAGCAUGCCUCCAGGCGGUACCAGCGGACCCAGCAAAGGUACAGAACCUCGGACCCUCUCUCGGAAACAGGAGACAGACCCCAACUCUGCCAUGAAAGUAUCAGUAAUCUUCAAAAUCAUCGCGUCCCCCCAGGCCCAGAAGGGCUGUGGGAGGUUCCAGACUGAAGAGGCUGCGCGAGGCAGGACAAGCAGGCGCACGCCUGCCCCUGGCUGGAGAGAAGUGCCACAGGGGACUGACUCCAUGUGGGCUGCGGCCCCGCGAGGUGGCCAGCUCCUUCUCCUGCAGCGCGUUGCUGUAGUGUAGCGAGAGGCUCAGCAUCUCGUCCUUCAGCUUCAGCACCUCGUGGAAGUGGGCGCUGAG